rnacentral:rRNA from 1 species
UACGUAGGGUGCAAGCGUUGUCCGGAAUUAUUGGGCGUAAAGAGCUCGUAGGCGGCCUGGUAGGUCAGCUGUGAAAACUCGAGGCUCAACCUCGAGACGCCGGUUGAAACCAUCAGGCUAGAGUCCGGAAGAGGAGAGUGGAAUUCCCGGUGUAGCGGUGAAAUGCGCAGAUAUCGGGAAGAACACCCCGUGGCUAAGGCGGCUCUCUAGUACGGUACUGACGCUGAGACGCGAAAGCGUGGGGAGCGAACAGG